rnacentral:sRNA from 1 species
GGAGUUGCUCUCAAGACUUAUUUUUAGCAAGGAGAGACGUAAAAUGG